CCGGGGACAGAUCCAACCGUGUGGAGACCGAUUUAUGGGGAGAAGGACGGGCAGCCCGUAACUCAGUGAAAACAGCCAUUUAUGGGGGAACGCCUGUUCUGAGAGCAAAAUUAUAUCCCAGGAUCUCAGAGAUGUUUAUCAAGCUUUAGAAGAAAGCAAAAAGCCAGAAAAUCACAACCAUUAACUUAGUUCAGAGGUUGAAGGAGUCUUUUGAGGUAGACCACUUUAGCCUCCUGCCAGAGGAGCUGGUCUGAAGAGUGUCAAGACAGGUCUUCAUUUUCCGAUCACUACCACUCUCGCAAGACUGGCAGCCAUGGGGGAAAAGUCCCACACUUGCCCUUACUGUGGGAAAGGUUUCCGGCGAAACUCACACCUUACUCGGCAUUUAGCUACCCACUCUGGACUGCAGCGCCCUUUAGGUGGGAAACGCCUGGGACAGCAAGUGCCAGAGGAAGACCGUCCCUUUAGCUGCAGCUACUGUGGGAAGACUUUUGCCCGCAGUGCCCACCUGGCCCGGCAUCAGGAAACCCAUUCUGGGGAGCGACCCUACAAGUGCACCUACUGUGGUAAAGCCUUUGGGCGCAAUUCCCACUUGACCCGCCACCACAGCACUCACACUGGAGAGCGCCCCUAUGAAUGUGGUGUCUGUGGUAAAGCUUUCACCCGCAGUGCUCAUGUCACUCGCCACCAAGGAACUCACACUGGAGAACGUCCUUUCCGCUGCACACGUUGUGGUAAAUGCUUCACCCGUAGUGCCCAUCUCCAGCGCCAUCAGGGCAUCCACAGUGGGGACAAGCCCUUCUCGUGCAGAGACUGUGGAAAGGGGUUCACUCGUUAUGCACACCUUGAGCGUCACCGUGCUACGCAUUCAGGAGAAAAACCCUUCAAAUGCGCCAGCUGUGGUAAAGGGUUUGGGGCUGCCUCUCACCUUGUAAGACACCAGAAAACUCAUAAAGUUUAACGGCUGGGUUUUGUGCCUGCUGCAAUCCAAACAAAUAUGAGAAUUGGCCAGUAUGAAGUACUUGGACUUAUCCUUUGACUUUAUAUCUCUUUUCUCCAUUCUAAAAUCUACUUUUAGAAAGAAAUGAGUUCAACCCACUCAACAAUAUUUACACCUGGUCUGCAGACAAAUUGAGGUUCUUUUAGCUUUUGCCACUUCGGUUCAGCAGCACCCAUAGCAAAAACAAUUUUAGAUGGUAAAACAGCAAAAUAUUCUAAUUUUUUUCCUUUGGGGGCAAAAAAAUCUCAGCGCUGCCAGUCACUCAUGGUUUUGUGUAUGCUUUUACUCAGUUAUAUAAAUAAAUGCUGUAUUUAACUCCACCUUUUCUAGUAAGAAAGAUGCCAGACAUAUGCAUUUAUGACUCCCUGGCAAGUAUUUCAAAAUCCCCUGCCUUGUGCUCCAGCAUUAUCUACAUUGUGCAGUUAUGAUGUAAAUGUGACAAUCUGAAUCAACAGAAGCAUCUUUUUGGCAAUUCCCUUGGAAUUUAAUUGGAUAAAUUAUUUCAUCAGCUUUGGAUUUUGAACCUGUGGCCUGAUCAUUUUGUUGUUAGAACUAUGUGCCAUGCUCACCUAAAAGACUAGCAUUGGAAUAGGGAGUUAUUGUGCCUGCAUCUUAAGCUCCUCAGUAGCUUGUAGCAGCAGAAGGAAAUGUUAUUGAAUCUGAAGCCAAUUCUUAAGAUUUGUCUAUCUCUUCCAUGCCUCUCAAGACUUUGAGGCUUGAUUUGCAGUCGUCUAACUACAAGUAGUGCCUGCAAUACCAUGUUGCAGCAUAGUGUAUUCAUAGACAAUGUAGCCAUAUUAUCUUUCAGAGAUAAUUCAACUUAUUUUUCCCUUCCUUUGAACUGUUUCCUUUAAUAGCAUGUUGGAGCUCCUAUGCUUGCUCAGACAUUGAUUUUCUUUUUAAUUUUAUGUUUUUGGAGGGAGGAAGUUAUUGCCUUUGGAUUUUAUUACUAAUUAUUUUUCUCUGUUUUUGCAAAUUUUGGUAUUGUGACAUGCUGAUAACUUCCCACUUAUUUCUCAGUAGCCCCAUUUGGGUUGCACAGUCAUCAUAAAUGUACAUGUGUUUACCAGCAAUAUUGAUAUUCAUGUCCAGUACUAGAUACUUUUUUGUGGGAGAAACAAGGAAUAGACCAAGACUUUUAUCAAGUUAAAUUGCAAUGUGAAACUGCAAAUAUUUCAAGUCUUUUCUGUUGGAAGUAUAUGAGUUCUUAGAUCUUGUCUCCCAAGCCUCCAGCUUUAGUGAAUCUGAACUAUUUUUUCUUUUUUUAUAAAUAAUAAUAGCUAGCAUAGUUACACUGAUAAAUUUUCUUACCUAACAACAGUGUGUUCUAGUGUAGGUAAAUAAAGACUCAAAUUCAACAAAUCAAAUUGUUGAACAACAACAAUGAAGUUUUUUGUUCAUUUAAACUCAUUCACAUUUUUUAAUGGAGAAGGAAGAUUUUAAAUAAUUGCUGUCUCAACAGAAAGGGAACUGUAGAAGAAAUGUAUGAAGACAGCUGGAACCUUUAGCAGAAAUUUAAAGUAUAACUUUGAAUGUCAUGCUAUUCUGAAGUGCAUCAGAAAACUAGAUGAGGCAGCAGGUAGUUUUUUAGCUGGAAUUCCAGAUAAACUAUGGUUACCCAAACUUUUUCUGUUUUGAUCCUUCAGGGGGAACUUGCUAAGUUAUUACAGCAAUUUAUUGUCUGUUGCUGAUUCUCGUCUGCCUCCUGAUCGGUGGUUCUUUGUAGAUGUGGGAUUCCCAGAAUGUUUUAAAGCUCUGAUCAUGCAAGAACCUGAUGAUUUUCUUACAUCAAGGAUUCUUGUACAGAGUGCUCACCAUGCCAAUGAUUUGAGUUAUAUAUGACAUUUGGACCUAGAAACAGCUAUAGGCCACUUGGCUCUGUUGUAUGGACUGGUAAUAACUUGGGCUGUUUGAAACCAGAGAAACUCAGCAGUAAGACUGCAGUUGUGCAGCAAAACUGUCAAAAAGGAUUUUCAGAAAAGAAAUGGACAAAUGAUAGAUUGGAAUAAUUGGAAAUAAGAACGAAUCACAACUUGCAAAGUAUACAUGAUUUUACUUGAAUGCCAAAUAAGCAGGACUUUUAGCCUAAGUGACUUGUAUUUGAAGGAGCCUUAUACAAUAUAUGGUCAGCUACUCUGAGUUCAUUAUAGUUACCAGAUGGAGGAACCAUUUCCUGUAUAUUCCAGCACUUCUUUGAUGAUUAUCUUGAUCCAGCGUUAAAAAAAUUUUUUUUGAAAGAAUAUAAAGAAUUAACUGUGAUUGCGAUUCCUCCAUGCUCUUACAAAUCUCUUAUUUUCAUCUUAAAUUCCAUAUACACUGCCUGUAAUAUCCCAGUUCUUUCUUCCAGAAUAUGAAGAGCAAGUGGCAGUACAUUUUCUUGGGCUUUCUAUGAUUUGAAAGCUAAAUUAAGUUGAACAUUUGUUUUUCUUUCUCUCAAGUUGAUAGAACGCUGUAGAAAUACUGAGCCCACAAACACUACUUUAUUUGCAUAGUAUUCUGUAUUGUAAAAAUGUGUGAUCAUUGCCUGCUUUUUAGCAUUCCAGGAGGCAGCAGCUGCUGAACUGUUCUUGAGAUAUUCUCCCUUAACUCCACCUAAGACAUGGAAAGACUUUGGGGGAACACCCCAAAGAUGUUUUUUCAAGAGGCAACUGGACUUUCUUGUUUUUCUUUGAAGAUGUUUUCUCUUCUCAUCCAAGAAGCUUCUUUAACUGUGGGGAGAAUAUUUUUUUUGCUAAAGUUGAGGCUGGUCAGUUUGAAGAAUAUAAGUCAAGAAUUUCCAGAAUUGUUCUAGUAAAUGAGAACUAUAUUUUUUUUCCAAUUGGAAUUCAAUUUUUUUUCUUGAUAGCUCCUAUUAAGCUACUGUAAUAUGCCUGGAUUCACAUAUUGCAGUAAGUCAUUAUAGCUCUUUUGUUUAUUCGGGGGAGGUAAACAUGUUGCAUGAAGCCAGCCAUUGUGAUUUGUAAAUUAUGGCUUAUAGCGUAAUAUGUGCAAAUCUUGUCAGGUAUAGUUCAGUAAAGCAUUGUUAAACAACCAUGGCGUAAUGGAGUCUGUGAGGGCAGCCAUUGCCUCCCACUAAACAUUAAGCUUAUUAAUGGAGUAGAAAAUUACUUACAUAUAAUUCAAUCUGAUUAUAGGGAACUUUUUAUCAUCUCCAUUUUGUUUAUUCUAGAACUGCAUAGAAGAAUCCAAACAUCUAUCUGUCAAAAUGUGAUUGUAUCCAGUUUAUGUUUUAGAACCUUAAUAUGAGCAGGGCAAGUUUGUCACAACUGUCUCAAAUCCCAUGGCUUUUGAUGGCACUAAAAUCCCCUUCCCAAUCAGAUAUUCUUCAAAUAGUGUUGGCUUAUACUAAUGUAAUCCGCCAGCUUGCAACGAUUAUACAGCUGGAAAAUUUAGCACGCCUGGAGGGUAUUUACUGAGAAUAGCUGAACUGGAGGAACUUGUUAACAGAUCAAUUACUAUCAUUAUUCCAUUAAAUCCUAUUCCUGAUAUAGCUUAGCCAUCACCAUAUUAUGGAUGCAGAUUUCCUCUAAAAAGAAAACUCAGCUGUGAAUACUUUAGUCAGCAUAUUGAUGGCACAGAAGAGAAAUAUUUAACCACCACAAUUGGGACCAGCAAUUUCAUUACUACCAGUAGGUGAGGCAGUCAAGUGAGAUAUUAUACCACUACAACUUGUGAUUUUACUGCCAGCUUCUCCAUUGACUCUGUUUAUCAGAAGCUCCCUGUGAAAUGUGCAAAUGGUGAUCACAUGACAGCAGGUUGCGACGGUUGUAAAUGCCAAUUGGUAGUGAAGCACCUGGAUCUCAAUCAUGUGACCAUGGGGACACUGCAAUGGCCAUAAGUGCAAGGACUGGUCAUAAAGCUACUUUUUCAUGCCAUCAUAUAGCUAAACAGGAGACAUUAAGUGAGAUCUGUCUGUACUGUCAUGCUGUUCCUGAGCAUAAAUGAAAAUGCACCUGUAAGGAAGAAAACCAGUGCCAUGCUCAUCUCUGAAGGCAGAAAAAAAGCCAAGUUGGAGAGUAAAAGAGCACCAAUGGGAUAAAUGACUUUCUAAAAAGAAGCAGCCUGUUCAUUCCCUAGUCUGUCCAAAAGAUACACGACCUGUCUUAAAAAAAUGUGAUGAACCUUUCUUAUACAAUCAAGUUGUCUAAUACCGAAAGGAGAAAGAGUUAGAGAUGUUUGGACUCGGCUGGUAUUGUGGAGAUGUUUGAAAAAAAGAAGACAGAAAGACAUUAUUGAUCUGGUGUUUUAUUAAUCUGUCUUCUUUAAACAUUUUUCAUGUGUACUGUGUUUUCCCUGUUCAUAGUAGUAUGAAUGCCAUAUUUUAGAGAAAACAGAAAAUAGUAUUAUUUCAAAUAAUAGGGGUACAAUCUAGAGAAAAACAAUCAGCCAAGGACCAACUGAUGUCAAGGGAUAUUAAAAAUACAGAUAAGGGGACUACAGGGGAGAUAUAAUAGAAAGGAAUGGGCUGAGUUGGUCACUUGGUGAUUUCCCUCCUCCCCAAGAUAAAAAUAGAAAAUGAUUGAGGAAUGUGGGUGGCAAAAGAAAGUUAUAAAAUAUUUUCUCUUUUGAAAUGAAUGAAAUAGAGGAUUUAUUCAGAGUGUAUGAAUAUUUUUAUGUAAAAGAAUGCACAAAAUUGGAUGGUGAUUAUUCCUAUGUAUAUAAUAGACCAGAAUAAGCAACUUGAUACUUUCAGAUACUAUUGGCAGAAGUUGAUAGGAAUUGAUAGCUAAAACAUCUGGAAAGCUCUUGCUAUCCAAAUGCAUUCCUAUACUUUGAAUGCUGCCAUCUUUUUGGUACAAGUCAAGCCUUUUUAGUUAGGAAUUGUGAAUUGUUUGCUGAUAUGCAGUGGUUUCGGUUUGCAAAUAAUCAGAAACAAAUAUUCUGCAGUUGAUCUUUUGCAACAAUUCUUCUGCAUGUGAGUUACAUAGUUUGUACAAAAAUAAGAAAGGGUUUCAAAACUGUUUUCAUGUGAAAUGUUGGAAUCCAGUAACUUUAUGGAAUUAGGAGUCUUAUCUCUGAAUACAUAAGCUUAAAAUUUCUCAAUAACUUUCUUAAGCCAAGCAAUACAAUUCCAUGUCUUCAGUUAUAAAUGAUGCUUUUUAUGUGUUUUUUUUAAAAAAAACAUGGAUUUCAAAUUUUUCCAACAGUUCCAAUUUUUAUCUGGAAAGAAACAACUUUGUUUUCCUUCAAUUCUUCCAAACUUUUGGCAAUAAUACAAAACACUGGUACAUAUGUCAUUCUACCCAAUAUUUAUAUUUACAUAGCAUACCAAGAUUAGGUACUGGAUUAUAAUCAAUUUUCUGGAUAUGUAUAAUAUGCUAAACUAUGAAAUAGCCAAAUAGGCUGGAUUCAUACAAUACAUUAAUUUAAAAACAAAAUCAAACCAAUGAUCUGGUACAGCAGAUUAUCUUUGUUCUCAGGUUUAUCUAAUCAGUGACUGAUCAUAUAAAAUAUAUGCAUAUAAAAUAUAUACAGACAAUGUUGUAAGACUUGUUUUUAGGGUUAAAUGCUUUUUUCCCCCUUCUAUAAUUUUAAACAAGUGAGGUGAGUUUAUGCUGCCUUCCAGCAAGAUCUAAAAAAAAAGCAAAGAUUAAUUCCUACCAGAUGGCCAUCUGUAUUGCAAUAGAUGUAUGCAUACCAGUCAAUCAGCCCAAUUUUAUUUGGAUUUGCAAAGAACAUAGACCAGGUUUUCCUUUGCAAAUAUCUGCUCUCAAAUUAAUAAUGGAGAUGUUUCCUUCUCACUAUCCUCAUUAUUCUAAUUCUGUGCAGCAGCUCCAGCUAGUUAUAGUUAGUAAUAAUGAUUACCAAUUAAAAUAGCCAGCUAUAUAUUGCCAGGAAAAAAGAAUGCAUCAUCAAAAGGAAAGACAUGGACAUAGACAAUUAAAAUUCAAUACUGUAGGAAUGCAAUGGAUUCUCAGUGAAAUAAGAGGUGAUGGAAAAAGCUGAUAAGGUUCAUCCAUUGAACUAAAUCACAUAUAACCACUUUUAAGAGUGAGAUGGAAAACACAUAAACCUAAUAAAUUUUUAAAAAUGUAUCAACAGUUUUCACCCAACAGUUCCUCAAGCUUGAAAGCUGGCAGGAGAGAUUCAAGGAGACAGAUGUUUGACAAAAUGUUUUUAUUACAGAUACUAAAAAGGUAAUAAUAGAGUAAUCAAUAACUGCCAGCUGCAUACUAAAAGCCAUGUGUACAUGUAGCAUUCCCAAAGUUCAAACAGUACAUCCACCGUGAGGGCAGGUUUCGUCUCAGUGGAAGGGCUGUAAUGCUGUUCAUUGAUGUUCAUCCACUGACGUUAUGGUCCUGUCUGAGGUUGGGGGUCUUGACUUCUGAUCUUGAUGAUUCUGGCCCUCAAAAUUUGCUUAGUUUCAGUUCAGUAUAUUCAAUCAAAUUUAGCUUGCAGAUCCUGGUUUUUGUAGCUUGAUAUAUCAUGUAAAUUGUGAUUUGUUCAAUAAAGUGUAGCUAAGCAUACCAUGUAGAGCACAGUGUGUGACUGCAUUCAAUGACUAAGUGGCUUAUGCCUACUCAAGAUGUUGCCUUGGGAAAGUUCAUCAGCAGCCUUCAUGCUUAAAUUCUUUCAGGAUGGUUCUGAUUAAUCUGGACUUGUGAAUAGAGUUGAGGUGGGAAUCUUGAUUCCCAGUGUUUCUGAACUUUCAUUUCCAGUAUUGUUCAACUCAGUAUAGUUUAAGGUGCUGGCAGGAUUUUUUAAAUUAUUUUUUAGAAUAGUUUUAUUCUGUAGAUCAAGCUUCUGGCCUCCUUCAGUGCAGAACUGCCCCUGUAGCUCCACUUUAAUUAGAAGAUUGUCCAUUCUAAAAUAAUUCUUCUAUCCUUCAAAUUUGGGAAAUUUAGUUUUUUUAAAAAAACUAUCAAGUUUUAUUACAUUUUAAUAUUAGCGUACUAAAUAGUCUCUUUAAAAUAAAUAUGUAUGUGUUAAGGUUAUAGUAAUCCAUACUUCCUUUCCUGUGUUCUUUUGUUUUUAAGAAAGAACAGGACGGAUAUAUAACAUCCUCCUGGAAAACAUCUAUAGACUUGUUUAUAUGCGAGACCUCAACUAAUAAUGAUUCCAUGCCUCGGGUGCUAUUCAGCAAGUUCUGACAGGUUCUGGAGAACCGUUAUGGAAAUUUUGAGCAGUUCGGAGAGCUGGCAAAUACACUUCUGACUGGCCCCAGAGUGGGGGUGGGAAUGGAGAUUUUGCAAUAUCCUUCCCCCAGGAGUGGAGAGGGAAUGGGAAUUUUGCAGUAUCCUUCCCCUGCCAUUCCCACCAAGCCAUGCCCACGGAACUGGUAGUAAAAAAAAUUGAAUUCCAACACUGCCAUGCCUGUCUGCUUUUUCUUAGACUUUUCCACUGAAAUAUUGUCACUUCCAUGUGAACAUUCUGUAGGUUCUUAAGAACUUUAGCGAUACCAUAACUCAGAUAUUUAGGGUGCAAAUAGUUCCAGAUGCAGACCUUGACACAGGUGAAAUGCUCCUGGUUCGGACCGGAUUGGGUGAUCCAGUAGCGAUCAUGUUGGGUGGUUUGGCGAUCCGGUAGCCCACCCGCCCGAAUGUUGUUACAUCCUGGUUUUAACCAGGAAGUAAUAUGUUUUUUACCUUCUGCAUAUGAAGCGUGCACAUAGCGUGUGCACUUCCGAACCGGCAAGGAAGGUAAGUAGAUUUCACCCCUGCCUUGACAUAUAAAAAAUGUCUCUGGUAACAGGAAUCUGCUUAAAUUACUAGAAACCCAAUGAAUGAUUACUCUGAUGAACGAAUUGCAUUCCAUUAAUGUUUUCCAACAUACCCAGUGGUGGGUUUCAAAAAUUUUUACUAUUGGUUCUGUGAGUGUGGCUUGGUGGGAGUGGCAGGGGAAGGAUACUGUAAAAUCUCCAUUCCCUCCCCAAUCCAGGGGAAGGUUACUGCAAAAUCCCCAUUUCCUCCCGAUCAGCUGGGACUUGGAAGGCAGAUGCGGGCAGGGCCAGUCAGAAUUUUUACUACCGGUUCUCCGAAUUACUCAAAAUUUCCGCUACCAGUUCUCCAGAAUUGAUCAGAACCUGCUGAAACCCACCUCUGAAGAUACCUGGUUGGAUUUAUAGAGCAGUAAGCCAGAAUUUGAUUUUAUGUCUUUUUUUUAACCUAAUGAACUGUACUUUGCAAUGUAUAGUUUAUUGCUGAGUGUUAUAUAUAUACCCAGCCAUUUUGGCUUAUUCAACUUACCAUGAUUAAAAGAAACCACAGGCUUGCAAUGGUUGUACUUUCCACUCCAAUAUAUAUCAAUACACUUAAUUGUUGGGCAGCUUUAAAGUAUUGCAUAUAAUAUACUUUAGCAUUUUCGAACCUAGUGUCUUCUUGGUAUACUGGAGUGUAAUUCUCACUAGUUCCUAACCAACAAGUUCUAAGUUGUUUUGUCUGAGGGGGGUUAAAAAAGUUAAAAGUCUAAAUGUUUCUCAACUUUGGCAACUCUUAAGAUGUAUGGACUUCAAUUCCCAGAAUUCCCCUGCCAGCUGAAGUACACUAUAUAUACACAUUUUAAUUAGAGUUGCCAAGAUUGAGAAACACUGGUCUAAGACAUUUAGAAGGUCAAUGAAAUUAGGCUGUGGUCUCCUUAAAUAAGAUGAAAUAGUUGCCAAAAGCAUCAUAUGUGUAGCCCAGACCAUGUAACUGCUUACUUGCUAACUACUAGUGGGCAUCUUUGCUGCAGUGAAGAGAGUUUUAUCUUAUGGGAAAUUACAGGCACCUACACUGCAGGAGAAGCAGUCACAAGGCAAACACUAGAGAUACAACUGAUCUCUUCUUCCUCCCUGUGGCUUGUGAAAAUCUACAGAGAUGUAUUUAAGGCCAAUUCUAUAAUUGAAAUGGAGAAGGAUCAUAGAAUCAAUUACAUCAGGAAUGUCAAACUUUUUCAUUUGAGAGCCGCAUCAGGGUUGUGUUUGACUUAGGAGGCCCAGGAUGGGCAUGGCCAGCUCGAUGUUACUUGUGGCAGGGGGUGCAUGUGGUGGUCUGAACAUUCUGCCAACGAAAAUGGGCACCCAAGUUUCAUUUUCAGCUGCGAUGGCCGCCUGAAACCAUCUGCCAGUGAAAAUGGAGCUCGGGAGGGCUGCCUGUCUCCCUUCCAAGCUCCAUUUUAGCUGGCAGAGAUACCGCGGGCCAGUCCUUUGCUGUUUCCAGGACGGCCCCAUGGGCCACAUCUAAGCACCCUGUGGGCCGGAUCUGGGCCCCAGGCCUUGAGUUUGACACCCUGGAUUACAUUAAUUCAAACUGUGAGUGGCACAAUCCAAUUGUGAACAUUCUAUAUUAAAACUAAUCAUGCACAUAUGCAAACAUUUAUGCAUUUUAAAACCCCAGCAGCAAAUAAUGCUUAUCCAUCUCUGAUAGAUGUUUUGUUUUUCUAUUUGUGUGUAUGUGCUUUUGAAACAGCUAAUACCAUCUGCAUUUUCUAUCCAUUCUGUCUUCUCCCUGCCCCCAUUAUUGCUAUAUUCUGCUUUAGUGUAAACCAGAUUUCAUUCUGCAGGCAUUGGUUGUGGACCAAUAUCCUAUUGUCUUUAGUUCUUAUUUGUAUAUUCUUUCACAUUACUGAUUCAUUUCCCAUGGUAGUUAUUUUCUUAAACCAUGAUAGCCGGUAAGGAAUAUAUAACAGGAAAAACUGAAGCCAUAGGGCAAAGGUCAUUCUUGGACAUUAUAGGCUUGGGAUAGCUUUUUGGGCUAGGAAGAAAAGUUUUGUUCAUAAUGUAUGGUCUGAAUGCACCCAGCUAUGGUACAUUUUGAGUAAUCCAUUGUUAAUAAACCACUUUGUUUUUCUCAUGAUUGUUCCCAUGCUAAACAUAUUUUUCUGAAAUAUGAUUAAGUUUUGAUAGCAUCGAUUUUCAAGCAAGCCUGAUUUAAGAUUGGCUUUUUUUUUCAGCUGCAAGCUUAUGAUUUCAUUAUAGUUUUUGGUCUGUCUGCAAAUGAAGUUGUUUUUUUGAUUAAGGAAUAGUCAUGAAAAAUGUGUUUCAUUUCACAUAAGGUUGUAGGGAAGGGGAAAUAAUCAUUUGUUGAGGGACACAUCUUCCCUCUUCUUAAUUUGGAACCAACCUGGGAAUACAUUAGGCCAGACUUUCCCAAGGUGGUACAAGUUCAGUUAAAGCUGGAGAGCAUCAAGCCUGGAAAGAUACCCUCUGUGGCUUUCUUUCACAUUAUAAAUUCAUUUUUGGCUUGCUGUGGCUUGGGUACAGUCUAGAGGGUAAGAGUAAAUUUGUUUUGCUUGUGUAUUGCUUUGAGGCAGGAUUAGACUUGGAUUCAUUUGGCAGACUGUUUGGAUUGUUCGUAUUUUCUCUAUUUGUAAUAAUGCCAAGGAUACAAUUUAACAACAGUUGUAAAUGGUGUUGCAAUAUAGCAAAACUGAUGUCUGGGUUUCUCAAAAUUUUAGUUUUCCUGAUAUUUCCUUUGGUAUCUUUCUCUGUUUUCCUAUUAUAUUAAUAAUAUCUGUCUUUUCUCUGUAUGAAAUAAAUAAUUUUUAAAGAGGU